GACGGAGGAUGCAAGCGUUAUCCGGAAUGAUUGGGCGUAAAGCGUUCGCAGGUGGCUGUUCAAGUCUGCUGUCAAAGACCGGGUCUUAACCCCAGAAAGGCAGUGUAAACUGAACGGCUGGAGUGCAGAUCGGGUUGAGUGAAUUCCCAGUGUAGCGGUGAAAUGCGUAGAGAUUGGGAAGAACACCUGUGGCGAAAGCGCUCUGCUGGACUGCAACUGACACUGAGGGACGAAAGCUAGGGGAGCGAAAGGG
rnacentral:rRNA from 1 species